AAACCAUCGAAGUAGUGAGACCCAGCCCCAACACCUCUCUCUCCCUCUAUUUCCAUCAUCUUGACCUCAACCUGAUCUGCGAUUUCUAGCUAAAUUUGUCGUUUCUCUUCUUGAUCUCCCCCACCGCGCCUUAGAAACUGUAGUUUCGGUAGUGUUCUCUCUCUGUCUCUCUCCACCCUCCACCGUCCAUGGCUAGAGAAGCUGCCUAGCUCUGACUUAGUUUUUUUUUUCUUUUUUUUUUUUGUUUUAAUUUGUUCCAGUCAAUUUUUGGUUAGAAUUGUUCUAUGAUUUUCUGUUUCUGAGUCUGGGUUUAAUUAUUGGUUUUUCUUGAGUAGGGUGUUGGAGGCCCUGAUGGCUGAAGCCUCUCUGCUCAGUGAGAAUUUCUUUGUUCAAUGCAAAGUUACAUGCAAAUUUCCACUAAGAGCAGUUUCAUAAAUGGGUUUAGAUUUUUUUUCCUUGCAUGUCGUGGUUUUCUGCAACGUUAGGUUUAUCUUUACUCAAAUAUUUCCUUCUAAGACCCUCAUUUUCUUAGUUUCUUAUAAUUUUAAUUUUCAAGGUGUCUACGAGAGGGACACAAAGAAAACCCUCGUCGAUCUCAAUUGCAGUAGAUCUCCGUCACUGGUUGCUUUGGGCUAAUGUUGCGAAUCUGGUUGUGAAUAUAUAUGAUGUUGAAUCUGGGUUAGAGCAUGACGAGAGCGAGAUUUCAGUCAAGAUGAGCUUUUACUCAAUAGUCGAGAUCAGCCAUGAUUAAAUUGGUUUUUUUUUUUAAAAAAUGGCAUGAUUACUAUGAAAAAUAUAACCUUAUUCUUGUAUUUAAUGUGAUAUGUCCUGGGGUGCCAAUUGUAUAUUUUAAUGUAAAAAAAAAAUUUGGAUGGGUUUUUCUUGCUUAAGCAAGUUACAAUAUUAAUAGUUGUUUCUUUAUUAAUUUAAUUUUAAUUCGUGUGGAGAAAAAGAUGGAGCGAAAGAGUUUUAACUAAAAUAAUUAAGUAAGGAUUUAUUCUAAUUAAGAAAAUGGUGUCUCUUUUCAUCUUGUAUUAAGUUUAUAUGUGCUUGAGAAAGUUGUUCCCAUGUUGAUAUGCAUGUGUAUGAUGACAAGGCACAUUUGCCUCCCAUAUUCAGAGGCAACAGGGUUUAAAAGCUUCAGUUAUAAUCAUUCGUAAUGGUAAAUCGGGUGUAGCAGCUGCACAUAUCCUCAAUGAUGCAUCAUUUAAGGUGAUCAUAUGUAAUCUUGCUAGAAUCAAAGGAUAUAUUUGGCAGUCGUAUUCAUACAGACUACUCAUUUGGUUAUCCAGUAGAAAUGAGAGCAUCAUGCCUGAUAUUACCGUUCUUCAAUAUCAAAAUCAAAAGCUUGUACAAAAGUUAGAAGCCCAGAAGGUAAGAGUAUUUUUUCAAAUAAAUUCUCUCAACUAAAGCAAACACAACAACCGUUUGAUUUGACAUUAGCAAUGGUCAAUAAGUCAUUAAAUAAGCUUGUGAAUGAUUUGGAAUCAUUUUUUAUCUGUACAAGAGAUUCAAGUAGUGAACGAGAUGGCAAACAUAUGCUAGUUAUGGACGUCUAUCAGCAUUAAUGAGUUCUUGAAGCUUGCUCAAGGAGAAAGGUACUACAACCCAAGUAGUCUUGGCAGCAUCAUUCUGGGAGAAUAUUGCAACACAACUUCCCAAAAAGAUCGGAUGAUUCAACUUGGUGCAAAUAUAGAUUAACUCAAGCAUCAGUACAAAAAAUUCAAUAUCCUCUCAAUAAAUCCUGCAGAAAAGUGCACAACAUGCGAGAUUAUGUAUUGAACUAUGGUUCAUAUAUGAUUUGUGUACCAUUUUAGUUUGGAAAUUUGUAUCAAACACAGUUGACAUUAAGCAUGUAUGGUACUUUAUUUUGUAAACUUUUAUCAAACUUUGUUUUUGUUUUUAUGCAUUAAAUUAUUUAUUAA